UUUUCUUUCUUUUGUAUAGCUAAUAGCCCACAGUUCGCUUACCACUAACCGAAGGGAGAUUGAGAUUUGGUGGAUAAACCAAACCAUUGGCUCAAAAAACAAUUCCUGAUUUCUCCAGGCUGCUAACAAGUCUUAAGGAUAAACUGCUUAAUGGACUUUUGGCUCCAGGAUUUGAUGAAGGUUACUGCAUAAGCAGGGACUGGCAUUUCCCUCUAUCACAAUACUUCACCCAAUGAAACUCUCCCUAUGUCUUCUCAAGAUUGUGCAAUUAUGGAAGUCUUCUGUCUAUGGAGCUUUGUUUCCAUUUUCUCCCAUUUUUGGCUGCAAUGAGAAGAUCAAAGCUCGUGCCCUUGUUCCACAUACAAGGCAGUGUAAUAACCAGAACUGAUGAUUGAAGAAGACAGAAAAUGGAUGCAUUGAUGAUUCUUGCUGAAAUCAUAUUGUACAACAUUUUGUAACUUUGAAAUGGGAUUUUGCAUUUUCUUUAUGUUAAUGGAUAUUACCAGAAUAUGAUUAAUUUGGAGCAUAGUCGUUGCUUCAUGUUAACCUCAAAACCAUAACAAAUCAAAACAAAUGGUGGGUACAUGAAAUCUAGAGCCAUAAGAUGUUUUAAAUACUUUA